rnacentral:lncRNA from 1 species
GCAGCUAAGAGGUGAUGAAGACAUCCAGGUUUCACAUGAUCUAGUUGGCUUUGUCCUCUGGCAAGCAUGAAGUUGAGGCUGAGGGACUGCUUUGGACGCUGGCAGCAGUGAAGGGUUGGAAUAUCAAGGUGCUUUCCACUUCUUGAUGUGAGCUGUGAAAUAUUUCAUGGGGCUUUAUAGGUAACACUGGGGACCCUUUUCUAAAAGAACAAAAACAUCCUCUCUUCCCCACCUCAUUUUACUAGUUUGGGUCUGCCUGUGUUGGCUUGCACAUGCCCACCCAGGUGCUGGGUGGCUUGCUCAGAGUGGGGUCUCAGCUCCCACCCUGGCUGUUGGCUAGAAGUGUAUCUGGAUUUCUUGUUCUUUCUCUGAGUGGAGCUCCAGCAUUUUGCAGCUGAUGUGUUUGGAGUAAAAAUCUUUACAGGCCCAGAGGAACAUUAGCAACAUUGCAAAUGCUUUUUAUUAAGACAAAAAAUGAAGCUGAAUUAUAAUUGUGUGAAUAGAAGAAAGUGUGAAAAUCUUUUAUCCCUAGAGUCUUGAGGACUCUGAUGUGUUUUGCUUUCUAUAUGGCUGGAAGCAGGAACUUAGUUCCUGUUUAGAGAAAUUGCUGAUGCUAAUACAAUUUGAUGUUUAUGUGCAUCAGAACCAUAAGAUAGAUACAAAAAAAUUCUUUGGGUGUUUUGCAGAGAAGAUGGUCCAGAGAUGAAAAAGACUUCUUGGAGGAAGUUUUCAAUGGGUUUGGAGGAAGAAUAAGAGCUCAGCAAUCAACAAAAGCAGAUGGCUUUGAUGGAGGAAGAGAAUUCCUGGCAAAAGGACAAGGAAGAAAGUCUGAUGUGGCUGUAGUGUAGUGUGUAUGCUGGGGAGCAAGUGGAUCUCCAGCAUAUGAAAAAAUGCGGUUGCCAUGUGACUUCACUAUCAGUUGGGACUUGGAGUACAAAUUACACAGACAGCCUGCCAGACUCAACAUCAAGGAAUCCAUGCCUGGACACCGAGGUGUCCCUUGGUAUACUCAGGGGAUUGAUUCCAGGAUGCUGGAGUACACCCAAAUCCACACAUGCUCAAGUACCUCUGUUGGCCCUAUGGAACCUCCAUAUAUAUAUAAAAAAUUGGCCCUUUGUAUAUGUAGGUUUCACAUCCUGUGAAUACUGUUAUCUUCAAUCUGUGUUUGCUUGAAAAAAGAUUCACAUGUAAGUGGAACCAUACAGUUCAACCCCAUGUUGCUCAAGGGUCAACUGAAUAGGCUUUUUUGAAGACAUCAGUCCAAGGACGAUGGUUUUCUCUUGGACCAGGGCUACCUUCUGUUGUUAUACAAUUCCUGAUGGAGGGAGACCACUUUAGGUACUGCAUGAGGUUGAUCAGAUUUCUAGGCUGGUCAUGGGGGGACUUGGACAAAUGCUUGUCACCCCUGGACAAGUAGUCAUGGCCAAUGUUGCUAGAUGAACAUAGAAGCUACUUUCCCCGAGAAGGUUUGGAAAGGGAGACAUUUGAAAAAUCCUGCUCUGUUUCAUGGUGAAGAAACUGGCAGACACGACCUUGGCUCGGGGAGCAAGUCCAUGUCGUGAGAGAGAAGUCAUGUUGACAGCAGGUAGCCUCAUUGGCUGUGGUGAGGAAAGCACUUUUCUCUGGUAUUUUUCCUCCAAAACCCACAACCUCAGUCCAAGUAUGAGAUAAACAUCAGACAAGCCCAAAUUGAGGGGCACUCUACACCUGAGCAGGACCGUCCCCAAACUGUCGAGGACAUAAAAAACAAGGAAAGUCUGAGAAACUACUAGACCCGAGGAACCUAAACAAAGCCUUUUUGUAAAACGUAGCCUGAAUUGGGUCCUGGAACAGAAAAGGGAUGCCAGAAGAACUGGUGAAAUCCGAAGAAUAAAAAGCUCAUUUCGUUACUAGUAACCGAUCGAUGUUGGUUUCUUAGUUUUGAUGAAUAUGUUGUGGAAAUGUAAGAAUAUUAACAACAGGGAACACUGGCAAACUCCAUGUACUGCCUUUGCACUUUUUCUGUAAAUUUAAAAUUAUUUCGAAAUAAAAACGUUUAUUAAAAACACAAAGCACUUGCUUUGCAGUGAGUCUGUGUGUCCCAACUGUGCAGUGUUCUGCCCUUUGCGUGACUCUCACUUCUUCACUCCUUAUAGGAUGAAGAGGACUCUCCUUUCCCAAGAAUUCCCCUUAGCAGGACUCCAUUACUGAGGGUACCAAGUCAGUUUGCUCUUGGAAACACAUGACUUCUUGUUUUCUUAGAAAAUGGAUUUAAAAUGUCUCAUUAGGAAACUCAUAUAUAAACCUCACGAUUAAAUGGUUUACCAAACUGGGUUUGGAUGGACUGAGUGUCAAUGAAUCAGCAACAGAAACCUGAGUUUGUCUUGGG